rnacentral:rRNA from 1 species
GAUGAACGCUAGCUACAGGCUUAACACAUGCAAGUCGAGGGGCAGCAUGACGAUAGCUUGCUAUUGUUGAUGGCGACCGGCGCACGGGUGAGUAACGCGUAUCCAACCUGCCCUUGUCCACCGGAUAACUCGUCGAAAGGCGGACUAACACGGUAUGCAUUCCACAGCAGACAUCUAACGUGGACGAAAUGUGAAGGAGAAGGUUGGGGAUGCGUCUGAUUAGCUUGUUGGCGGGGUAACGGCCCACCAAGGCGACGAUCAGUAGGGGUUCUGAGAGGAAGGUCCCCCACAUUGGAACUGAGACACGGUCCAAACUCCUACGGGAGGCAGCAGUGAGGAAUAUUGGUCAAUGGGCGAGAGCCUGAACCAGCCAAGUAGCGUGCAGGAAGACGGCCCUAUGGGUUGUAAACUGCUUUUAUACGGGGAUAAAGUGAGUUACGUGUGGCUUAUUGCAGGUACCGUAUGAAUAAGGACCGGCUAAUUCCGUGCCAGCCGCCGCCGUAA